rnacentral:lncRNA from 1 species
UUUUUUUCUAUUUGAUUUUUUUGUUUUUUCUUCUAGUUGUAUUUAUUCUUUAAAAGAGGUUCGAAGGUAUUGCAGAAUUGUCCAUCGCACAUUAGAACCAGUCUUGAUUGUGUAUUAAAAAAAAGUUCAAAAACAUGUCCACCACACAUUCAGAAAGAAAAUGUUCGUCUUAUAUAUGAAAAUUGUUCAUCGCGUAUUUAGAAAAUGUUGGCAUGUAAAAAUAUUCACUGAUUUAAAAAUUGACCAUGUGUAUUUAAAAGAUGUUCAUCGUGUAUUGGGAAAAUAUUCAUCGUGUAUGUGAAAAUUUCAUCACAUACUGAAACACAAAUGUUCAUCAGGUAUGUGGAAAAUGUUUAUGACAUAUAUAAAAAAAGUGUUCAUCGUGUAUUUCAAAUAUGAUCAUCAAAUAUUUAAAAAAAUAUUCACCACAUAUACAAAAGUAUUUUAGAGAAAAAUGAUCAUCGUUUGGUUAGUGACAUCGCCCGUAUAUCUAAUCCCCAAGGGGAACAGGGGAAGUAUCCGGUGCACCUGUUCUCAAGAACUCUCAUUUCUGAGGUUGAAUAUUCUUGAAGUUUUGUGGAGAUGGAAGUUUAAAGUUGCAUUCCAAAAGUUUAAAAUUUAUGUUGAAACAAAUAUACAACCACAAGCACGUAUUUUGGUGAUGAGAGCUAGGCCAUGGAUUCAGACCAUUUCGUUCUCCAAGCAAAUGUUUUCUCAUUAUUAUUUGUACAGCUAUGUUUCAAAUUUGGAUAGAAAAUUAGAAGUGUUAUUGUUCGUACUACAACAUAAUUAUUUGCAGAACUUUUCGUAAAUUGUAAACUUACAAUUUUAACUCAGGUGGUACAAAAUAACAAGGUGCAACACUUAUUUGUUCCAUCUAGCAGUGCAUAGACAGAAUGGGUGAGGCGAUGUAACGUGUGUGAACAGAUGGCACUAUGGCUCGUCUAUAGGGUGACUGACGAGCCAGAUAACGAGCUUCAUGGUGCUCGGCCUCCAAACGGCAUUUCCCAAACAAAAGUAGACAAAAAGAGUAAAAAAGGAAAACAGAGGACAGAAAGAAAAAAAAAACAGAAAAAGGAGGCUGGAGCUUCCCGCACGGAUGAGCAGCAGCCCAUGUUCGCUCCUGUCUCACUGAACGCAAGGAAUAGGGGCGCCCAGCACGGCGGGCUUCACUCCAAGGUAGAAGCACAAUAAAAUCCCUGUGUGCACACGAGAUGUCCCAGACUCGUGGGCGUGGUAUCCUGAUAAGAAGGGCAUUUUCUCGGUCAGCUCAGUGUAUAAAAUGAUGAUUAGCACAAAGAUAGAAAGAGAAGGCUGGUUGGAAGGGCGUGGCGGUCCCUCAGAGACAUCAACAGAGGAGAAGGCCUGGAGUUCGCUGUGGCAACUGCAAGUCCCUUCAAAAAUUUGUGUGUUAAUUUGGAGACUUGCAAGGCAUUCUUUACCAACUACAGAUGUUCUUCAUAAAAGAAAUAUGGUUGUCCAAGAUGCCUGUCCUUUAUGCGGAGGAGAAGACUCAUGGCGUCAUGCACUAGUGUCUUGCACAAUGGCUAGAUGUACAUGGGCACUAUCAGAGGAAGUUAUUGUCGUAUGAGCGAGAAUGUCGUGCCAAGUGCUAAGCAUUGGCUGUUUGAUCUCUAUGAAACCUUGAACUAUGCUAGUUUCACGAGAAUGGCAGUAACCCUUUGGGCCAUUUGGUACGAGAGGCGGAAGGAGAUCCAUGAAAACAUGUUCCACAGCCCGUGAACUCUUAUCUUCAGGAGCUACAAACAGUUCCGAAACUGUUGGAACAGCCGCGCAUAAUCGUUGCAUAAUGCUGACGGGGCUGUUUCGAGUAAUGCCAGUAUGGGUGUGGCUGCUGCGAUAUGCCGAGACCACACUGGAGAAUAUCUAGGCGCGUCGGCUGUCGUCUUUCGUGGCAUCUCUGAUCCAACAAUUCUUGAGGUAUUAGCAUGUCGAGAAGCAAUGGCAUUGGCAGAAGACCUGAACAUUCAGAGAGUGCGCAUUGCAAAUGAUUGUCAAGGAGUGGUAAAGGACAUCAACACAGGAAGCAGAGGGCCACAUGCAGCGAUUCUACACGAAAUAACAGAACAGAGGAGUCUUUUCCUUUCCUGUAAUUUUGUUUUCAAACGUAGGAAUUUUAAUUUCAAGGCUUGCUAGCGUCAUGUCUGGUUGGGCAUGCCUCACGACCUGAACAUUGUACCCAAGGCGAGAAUUCUCAAAAAAAAAAAAGGUAGAAGCACAAUAAGAUGGUACUGAUUAUGUGGACAAGACUGGUAAGUCCGUCCAAACAGUUGUCCAUGUACCAGUAGAAGAUUCCGCAGCUACUGCAGCCCCUGCUUCUUCAGGCGGAACCUCACCCUGAAAACUUCUGCCAAGAUAUCAGUAUCCUUUGGGGUGUAGUAAGUCAAUUUCUAAUCUUUAACUUUGAGGCCAACGUCUAGAAGGCCCGUUAACAGAUUGGUUUAUAGGAACAAUGCAAAGUUGCCCAGAUGAAGCCACACCAAAAAUAAUCGCAGGCAGAGUGACCUUGGUAAUAUCUUUUCCAUCAGUAUCAAUAUUGGUUGCAAAAUAAAUAAAUGGGAUAACAAUCUUUAACCCUACAACAAUCAAAUCGGAAGUAGCACAUAAUAAUGAUACACAAUCUAGUCGCCUAAACCGCCACCCACACCUUGUAAGGCCUGCGCCCCCUUCAAAAACGGAUCCAUUACACAUAUAAGAGAAGAACAGGUACGGUAGCUUUGUUAAAUAAGACCGUCUUUCCCGCAAAGCCCCUACGGACACAACUAUCUUGGCAGAGAGAGAUGCUCUAG